UAUUGUCACCGAGUACGAAUAGACAAGAUUCUCUGUUUCUUCCACAGAGUUUCAAUCUUUCCUUGUAUGAAUAAGUCCGCAUGCUCUCCUAUACAAGAUGGGUCCACAUCUCCCGUAAUUCUGCGUUUCUUCCGCGAAGUUUCAUUCCCAUCGUCUCGUCACUUCUUAUAUUCGUCGUCUGAUGCGUUUGUACUAAAAUAAGAACCACUCAAUUUGGCAUUUGAUCAUUUCUUAUCUCUAUCCCCUUUUCUACGAUAAGAACCAUUCAAAACAAGUACCAUAUAUUUGAUCAUUUCUGAUCUCUAUACCCUUUUCUACGAUAAGAACCAUUCGAAACAACUACCAUAUAUUUGGGAGAAUUUGACUUAGUAUAAUGGAUAGUAAAAAAUAUCUAUUGUCGAAGUAAGGAGACUAUGUUAUCUAGUUGCUAGGUAUUCUAUCAGAAGAUAACUGGGUUUUUGGGAUUCGCAUUUCACAAGAUCUAACAUGGUAUCAAAGCUCCAGAUCUGAAGAUUCUUGCUCAUUUUUUUGGAGAUUAUUUGCAUUUACACAACAAAAUGUUCAUCUUGGGUUAAUUUGGAGCACACCAUCAGUUCUAGAAGGCUCGAGAAAGUCAGGAUUUCCUUUUGUUUCACCGAAAUCGAAAACACGGAGUCCAUUUUACAAGGGUUAAAAAUUCGACGGUUUUCUCUAUUUUAGAAGGUACCUAAAAAUUUGGAGCUUUUUGGGCUCAAAAGGACCUCAUGGUUGUAUACAGAAGGUUGAUUCCACAAAUUUUGAUAUAUAAUUUGCCUAUUUUUUGUGACACGAGCAUCGGGGAUAAAAAAAAAUUCAACAGGCCGUACAGGUACACCGUCGUGGUUAGGCGGGCUCCUUGCUGGCCACUUUAAAAGCCGUUGACAGUAGCCGUUGUCCGCAGCUUCCAGUGGCCUAUCAUGGAAACAAUCACCGGUUUCUUUAAACCGCCCACUACUGAAACCGUCAGCCGACCAAGCAGCGCCCAGCUCGCGCUUCACCUGUGCUCCACCACCUCUGCCACCUUCAUCGAGCUGCCACCAGCCAGCGACCCAAACUCAACUUGAAACCCUUUUUUGAGCUAGUUGGGGUUUUUCCAUGAUAUCUUGAGCAAACGGAGGGAGUUUUUGACAAACCAUAUAUUGUCAAAAAGCUCUUUUCGAGACAGAUUCAUUUCUAGAGAUCUUGAGUCCUUUUUUUUUUUAAAGAUUGUUUACCAAAUUUCUAUCUCUUCCUUUCGAAGUCAAUAGUUCUUUUUCUGGUCUUAUUUUGCCUUCCUGUGAUUCGAGCUCCACCUUUCUUGUUUCAGAUCUCUACUUUUUUCAGCAUCAUGGAGAGAAGCUUUCAGAUUCAGUGUACUUGUCAUACCUCUCCCUUCUCAGCAUUAUGGGGGGGUUUCUACUAUUGGUGCUAAUGCUUCCUUGGUUUUGUGUUGGAGGUUCUAUGUAUUCAGUACUUGUUCCUACGUACUAAGAAGAUGCAGUGGCUGGUUACCCAUGUAUUUCGGUGAGAUGGAAUAAUUACCAUAUGGAUGCUCUUGCAUUCCUA